rnacentral:rRNA from 1 species
CCCUUAGAUGUUCUGGGCCGCACGCGUGCUACACUGAGUGGAUCAGCGGGUCAGGUUGCGCGAAAGCGUUUCCUAAUCUUGAAAUCCGCUCGUGAUGGGGAUUGACGGUUGCAAUUUUCUGUCACGAACGAGGAAUACCUUGUAAGCGCGGGUCAUCAUCCCGCGCUGAAUACGUCCCUGCCCUUUGUACACACCGCCCGUCGCUCCUACCGAUUGAGUGGUCCGGUGAGGCUUUGGGAUCUGAGCGGAAAGAGCGUUUCGCUCGUUCUGCCCGGAAAACUCAGUCGAACCUUAUCAUUUAGAGGAAGGAGAAGUCGUAACA